CUGUGUUGUUUCAGUUUUUGUACAGGCAAACAAACUGCAGCAGCACAUCUUUGCAGUCCAUGGGCAGGAAGAUAAAAUUUAUGACUGUUCCCAGUGUCCACAGAAGUUCUUCUUUCAAACAGAGCUUCAGAACCACACAUUGAGCCAGCACGCACAGUGAGCCACUGGCACUACAGGACACCUCUCUGCAGAAGACUUGACGGUGGCACAGUGGGGAGGACCAUUUGAACAUUACAUCCAAUCAAAGUGUCAUUUGCAACCCAGAUGUAAAACUCUAAUGAUUUGGCCAUGAGGCGCUGCUAUUAUAAGCAGCUGGAAAUGAAUAUUAAUGGAAGAGAUUAAAAGUAUUCCAUGCUCAGUAUUUUUUAUUGUCCUGCUUCAGCUAGUGUACUUUAGAGCUUCUGCUUCUGACUGAAUUUAUAGUGUUAGAUAAAUCUGCUUUGAUGCUGUUGCCCUUUGUUGCUUCUUGUAUUAUAUUGAUAGUUAAAGAUUAGGUGUGAUUUUUUUCUUUUUUGUUAACUGCUUUUUAAUUGCAAUUUUAGGUAACUGUGCUUUGUGAUGUGAUUGCUUGGCUAUUGUCUGAAUAUUUCUUUUUAAUUUUUUAAUUAAAGACUAAUGCUUUGAUUGGAUUUGCCAGUUCACCGGACAGUGAUUAAAACUCUGUAAUGAAUAUAAUCGGUUUCAGUGCAACUGGAUGGUUCUGCUUUAUAAAUGUGACUUAAUCUGAUUGCAAUAACUAGUACAGCUCAAUAAAGGGAAUACAUGA